GAUGAACGCUGGCGGCGUGCCUAAUACAUGCAAGUCGAGCGAACAGACGAGGAGCUUGCUCCUCUGACGUUAGCGGCGGACGGGUGAGUAACACGUGGAUAACCUACCUAUAAGACUGGGAUAACUUCGGGAAACCGGAGCUAAUACCGGAUAAUAUAUUGAACCGCAUGGUUCAAUAGUGAAAGACGGUUUUGCUGUCACUUAUAGAUGGAUCCGCGCCGCAUUAGCUAGUUGGUAAGGUAACGGCUUACCAAGGCAACGAUGCGUAGCCGACCUGAGAGGGUGAUCGGCCACACUGGAACUGAGACACGGUCCAGACUCCUACGGGAGGCAGCAGUAGGGAAUCUUCCGCAAUGGGCGAAAGCUUGACGGAGCAACGCCGCGUGAGUGAUGAAGGUCUUCGGAUCGUAAAACUCCGUUAUUAGGGAAGAACAAAUGUGUAAGUAACUAUGCACGUCUUGACGGUACCUAAUCAGAAAGCCACGGCUAACUACGUG
rnacentral:rRNA from 1 species